rnacentral:hammerhead_ribozyme from 1 species
ACCGGCUGAUGUGUCGCAAAUAGGACGAAACACGUGUCCUGGAU